AAUUUGUUCUGGUGAGUAGAAUCAUUACCUUCAGGCUUUUUGCUGUAAACACUGUCUUUUCAGAGAAAAUGCCGUGUUUACAUUACAGCCUAGCGAUAACUUCACUGGCCACUCCUCAGAUAGCUGCUAUAGAUCCUUCCUGGGUCAUGGCUGCCUAAAAUGCAUCCAAACAUUCAGUAUCUCCACCCUCUGCAUGCAGACACUGAACUUUCCUCAUAGAGAUUCAUUGAUUCAAUUAAUCUCUAUGAGGAGAUGCUGAUUGGCCAGGGCUGUGUUUGAAUCAUGCUGGCU